UCCGUAGGCGGGUAAUUAAGUCAGAGGUGAAAUCCCACAGCUUAACUGUGGAACUGCCUUAGAUACUGGUUAUCUUGAGUUUUAGUGAAGUAGAUAGAAUGCGUAGUGUAGCGGUGAAAUGCAUAGAUAUUACACAGAAUACCGAUUGCGAAGGCAGUCUACUAACUAACAACUGACGCUGAUGGACGAAAGCGUGGGGAGCGAACAGGAUUAGAUACCCUGGUAGUC
rnacentral:rRNA from 1 species